UGGGGAAUAUUGGACAAUGGGCGCAAGCCUGAUCCAGCCAUGCCGCUUGAGUGAUGAAGGCCCUAGGGUUGUAAAGCUCUUUCACCGGUGAAGAUAAUGACGGUAACCGGAGAAGAAGCCCCGGCUAACUUCGUGCCAGCAGCCGCGGUAAUACGAAGGGGGCUAGCGUUGUUCGGAUUUACUGGGCGUAAAGCGCACGUAGGCGGACUAUUAAGUCAGGGGUGAAAUCCCGGGGCUCAACCCCGGAACUGCCUUUGAUACUGGUAGUCUUGAGUUCGAGAGAGGUGAGUGGAAUUCCGAGUGUAGAGGUGAAAUUCGUAGAUAUUCGGAGGAACACCAGUGGCGAAGGCGGCUCACUGGCUCGAUACUGACGCUGAGGUGCGAAAGCGUGGGGAGCAAACAGG
rnacentral:rRNA from 1 species